AUGGGGAGGUCGCCGUGCUGCUCCCACGACGCCGGCGUGAAGAAAGGGCCAUGGACGGAGGAGGAGGACAAGACUUUGGUGGAGCACAUCCAGAAGCGCGGCGGGAACGUCGGCGGCUGGCGUGGCCUGCCCAAGACCGCCGGGCUGAACCGCUGCGGUAAGAGCUGCCGUCUCCGGUGGACCAACUACCUCUGCCCCGACAUCAAGCGCGGCAACUUCACCGAGGACGAAGAGCGCCUCAUCAUCACCCUCCAUGCCAGCCUCGGGAACAAGUGGGCGACGAUCGCGACUCAUCUGGAGGGCCGGACAGACAACGAGAUCAAGAACUACUGGAACACGCACAUCCGGAAGAAGCUCCUGCGCAUGGGCGUCGACCCAGUGACGCACCAGCAACUGCCACCCAACCAGAGCCACCACCACCUCCCCGAGGCGCUCCUCUGGGCGGCGGCGGCCGCGAGCCUGGGCGGCAUGGACACCGGCGCUCUCAUGCAGGCUCAGCUUCUGCAGCAGCUCCUCCGGACGAUAGGCUCUAACAACGACGCAACUAACCUCGUAGCCAACCUGGCUGCAGCAAACGCAGUGCUGAACUCAAGCGGAAGCAUGGUUCCCAACCUCCUGCUCCAGGACCAGAUGAACUGCCUGCAGCCGGGUUACCUCUGCAACACCUCCAAUUUUGCAGAGCAGCAUGUGGUGCAGCAGCAUCUCACCAAUGACACGUCUCCGGGAACGAGCUCCUUUGCAGCAGCUGAACAGGCUGGUCAGCUCUGCAACACCGCAGCUUCAUUUGCACCCCAUGAUGCUGCACCGCAGCUUCCCGCGCAGGAGUUCGCUUGCUUGCUGGAGCCCAUGACAGAGCUGCCCGAUCUGUGCUCUCUGGAGAGUGAUUCUUUCUGGAAGGAGAUAUUGGAGGACAGCUACCGUUUGUAG
rnacentral:rRNA from 1 species